UGUAGACCAUGCUGCCUUCGAACUUGGAGA
rnacentral:piRNA from 1 species